AGCCCUGAAAAUGGAUGGCGCUGUAGCGUCGUGCCUAUACUCUGCCGUCAACGGCAAAGCGGGCGGCCCCUCACGGGGCGGCGCCGUUAAGCCUUGACGAGUAGGAGGGUCGCGGCGGUGUGCGCGGAAGGGUCUGGGCGUGAGCCCGCCUGGAGCCGCCGUCGGUGCAGAUCUUGGUGGUAGUAGCAAAUACUCCAGCGAGGCCCUGGAGGACUGAUGUGGAGAAGGGUUUCUUGUGAACAGCUGUUGCACAAGAGUCAGUCGAUCCUAAGCCCUAGGAGAAAUCCGAAGCGAUGGUCUGCCGUUAAA
rnacentral:rRNA from 1 species